CACGUAGGGACCAAGCGUUGUCCGGAUUCAUUGGGCGUAAAGAGCUCGUAGGCGGUUCGAUAAGUCGGGUGUGAAACCUCCAGGCUCAACCUGGAGACGCCACCCGAUACUGUCGUGACUAGAGUACUGCAGGGGAGACUGGAAUUCCUGGUGUAGCGGUGGAAUGCGCAGAUAUCAGGAGGAACACCGGUGGCGAAGGCGGAUCUCUGGGCCUUACCUGACGCUGAGGCGCGAAAGCUAGGGGAGCGAACAGG
rnacentral:rRNA from 1 species